GACGAACGCUGGCGGCACGCCUAACACAUGCAAGUCGAACGGACUUACAAGAGCUUGCUUUUUUAAGUUAGUGGCGGACGGGUGAGUAACACGUGAGCAACCUGCCUCUGAGAGGGGGAUAGCUUCUGGAAACGGAUGGUAAUACCCCAUAAAAUAUCAAUAUCGCAUGAUAGAUAUAUCAAAGAAAUUCGCUCAGAGAUGGGCUCGCGUCUGAUUAGAUAGUUGGUGAGGUAAAGGCUCACCAAGUCGACGAUCAGUAGCCGGACUGAGAGGUUGAACGGCCACAUUGGGACUGAGACACGGCCCAGACUCCUACGGGAGGCAGCAGUGGGGAAUAUUGCACAAUGGAGGGAACUCUGAUGCAGCGAUGCCGCGUGGAGGAAGAAGGUUUUCGGAUUGUAAACUCCUUUUAUCAGGGACGAUAAUGACGGUACCUGAAGAAAAAGCUCCGGCUAACUACGUG
rnacentral:rRNA from 1 species